rnacentral:rRNA from 1 species
ACGAACGCUGGCGGCGUGCCUAAUACAUGCAAGUUGAGCGCUGAAGGUUGGUACUUGUACCCACUGGAUGAGCAGCGAACGGGUGAGUAACGCGUGGGGAAUCUGCCUUUGAGCGGGGGACAACAUUUGGAAACGAAUGCUAAUACCGCAUAAAAACUUUAAACACAAGUUUUAAGUUUGAAAGAUGCAAUUGCAUCACUCAAAGAUGAUCCCGCGUUGUAUUAGCUAGUUGGUGAGGUAAAGGCUCACCAAGGCGAUGAUACAUAGCCGACCUGAGAGGGUGAUCGGCCACAUUGGGACUGAGACACGGCCCAAACUCCUACGGGAGGCAGCAGUAGGGAAUCUUCGGCAAUGGACGAAAGUCUGACCGAGCAACGCCGCGUGAGUGAAGAAGGUUGUCGGAUCGUAAAACUCGGUUGGUAGAGAAGAACGUUGGUGAGAGUGGAAAGCUCAUCAAGUGACGGUAACUACCCAGAAAGGGACGGCUAACUACGUG